rnacentral:rRNA from 1 species
CCUACGGGUGGCUGCAGUGGGGAAUUUUGGACAAUGGGGGCAACCCUGAUCCAGCCAUUCCGCGUGAGUGAAGAAGGCCUUCGGGUUGUAAAGCUCUUUUGUCCGGAACGAAACGGUUGAGGCUAAUACUCUCGACUACUGACGGUACCGGAAGAAUAAGCACCGGCUAACUACGUGCCAGCAGCCGCGGUAAUACGUAGGGUGCGAGCGUUAAUCGGAAUUACUGGGCGUAAAGCGUGCGCAGGCGGUUUUGUAAGCCAGAUGUGAAAUCCCCGGGCUCAACCUGGGAAUGGCAUUUGGGACUGCAAGGCUGGAGUGCGGCAGAGGAGACUGGAAUUCCUGGUGUAGAGGUGAAAUUCGUAGAUAUUGGGAAGAACACCGGUGGCGAAGGCGGCGACCUGGUCCUUGACUGACGCUGAGGCGCGAAAGCGUGGGGAGCA